rnacentral:misc_RNA from 1 species
UACGGAGGGUGCGAGCGUUAAUCGGAAUUACUGGGCGUAAAGCGCUCGCAGGCGGUCCUUUAAGUCUGAUGUGAAAUCUCGCGGCUCAACCGCGAACGGUCAUUGGAAACUGGAGGACUUGAGUACAGAAGAGGAGAGUGGAAUUCCACGUGUAGCGGUGAAAUGCGUAGAGAUGUGGAGGAACACCAGUGGCGAAGGCGACUCUCUGGUCUGCAACUGACGCUGAGACUCGAAAGCGUGGUUAGCAAACAGG